CCAACAGGGAUUGCCUCAGUAACGGCGAGUGAAGCGGCAACAGCUCAAAUUUGAAAUCUGGCCUCGGCCCGAGUUGUAAUUUGUAGAGGAAGCUUUUGGUGCGGCACCGACCGAGUCCCCUGGAACGGGGCGCCAUAGAGGGUGAGAGCCCCGUAUGGUUGGACGCCUAUCCUCUGUAAAGCUCCUUCGACGAGUCGAGUAGUUUGGGAAUGCUGCUCAAAAUGGGAGGUAAAUUUCUUCUAAAGCUAAAUACUGGCCAGAGACCGAUAGCGCACAAGUAGAGUGAUCGAAAGAUGAAAAGCACUUUGAAAAGAGGGUUAAAUAGCACGUGAAAUUGUUGAAAGGGAAGCGCUUGUGACCAGACUUGCGCCUCGUCGAUCAUCCGGGGUUCUCCCCGGUGCACUCGGCGGGGCUCAGGCCAGCAUCGGUUUUCGCGGGGGGACAAAGGCACCGGGAACGUAGCUCCUCCGGGAGUGUUAUAGCCCGGGGCGUAAUGCCCUCGCGGGGACCGAGGACCGCGCUUCGGCAAGGAUGCUGGCGUAAUGGUCAUCAGCGACCCGUCUUGAAACACGGACCAAGGAGUCAAGGUUUUGCGCGAGUGUUUGGGUGUAAAACCCGCACGCGUAAUGAAAGUGAACGUAGGUGAGAGCUUCGGCGCAUCAUCGACCGAUCCUGAUGUAUUCGGAUGGAUUUGAGUAGGAGCGUUAAGCCUUGGACCCGAAAGAUGGUGAACUAUGCUUGGAUAGGGUGAAGCCAGAGGAAACUCUGGUGGAGGCUCGCAGCGGUUCUGACGUGCAAAUCGAUCGUCAAAUCUGAGCAUGGGGGCGAAAGACUAAUCGAACCAUCUAGUAGCUGGUUA
rnacentral:rRNA from 1 species